CAGCCGCCGCGGUAAAACGAAGGGGGCUAGCGUUACUCGGAAUUACUGGGCGUAGAGGGCGCGUAGGCGGCACGAUUAGUCAGGCGUGAAAUUCCUGGGCUCAACCUGGGGACUGCGCUUGAUACGGUCGAGCUAGAGGAUGGAAGAGGGUCGUGGAAUUCCCAGUGUAGAGGUGAAAUUCGUAGAUAUUGGGAAGAACACCGGUGGCGAAGGCGACCACCUGGGCUCAUACUGACACUAAGGUGCGAAAGCGUGGGGAGCAAACAGGACUAGAUACCCGCGUAGUCCCUGUCUCUUAUAC
rnacentral:rRNA from 1 species